rnacentral:rRNA from 1 species
UAAGACUCUAUUGUUACAAUAUUAUAAUUUAAGUUUAUAAAUUUAUUUUAGCUUAUAUAUAUAAUAUAUUUAACUAACUAUAUCUUAAAGAUAUAAGACAUUAGAGUCUGGUUAGUUUCGAUGGGGCGUCGGCAUCACACAAAAUAACUGAUGUGUCUAACUGAUUAUAAUUAUAAACAUUCUAUUCAUUAUAUAAGAAUAUGAAUAUAAUAGUAUGACCAAGUACAGUAAAACUAAAUGGUAAUUAGUAAAAAUUAUAUAUCUAAUAUAUAAUAAAUGAUAAGGAUAAUAACUUAACUGUGCUAUGAUAAGAAGACUAACAAGUCAACUUAGUACGUAAGUAUAGUAUAAUGAACAGGUGAUAUCUUCAGCAAAGAGUGCCGAUAACG